rnacentral:lncRNA from 10 species
GAGACGGAGUCUCCCUCUGUCACCCAGGCUGGAGUGCAGUGGCGAUAUCUCGGCUCACUGCAAGCUCCACCUCCCAGGUUCACGCCAUUCUCCUGCCUCAGCCGCCCAGUUAGCUGGAACUACAGGCGCCCGCCACCAUGCCCGGCUAAUUUUUUGUAUUUUUAGUAGAGACGGGGUUUCACUGUGUUAGCCAGGAUGGUCUCGAUCUCCUGACCUCGUGAUCCGCCCGCCUUGGCCUCCCAAAGUGCUCGGAUUACAGGCAUGAGCCACUACACCCGGCCCCCCAAUAUAUUCUUUAGUCUAAAGUAAACUGCUUCUUCCCAUUCCCCACACUCUCCAGUUCCCAUUUUUCCCUUAUUGCAGGCUCCAAUGUUCCUGCCUUCUCCUUGCUGCACUGCCAUCUGCAUUAACCCCUCCCCUGCUGUGCUCAGCUAUGGAAAUGCCAAAGUCCCUAACACUCAGUUCCAUAAACUUUACCUCACCCUCUUUAUCCCCCUAAUAAAAUGUUUGCAUUUGGGUCAAAAGCGAUGGCUCACGCCUGUAAUCCCAGCACUUUGGGAGGCCAAGGUGGGCAGAUCAAGAGGUCAGGAGAUCGAGACCAUCCUGGCCAACAUGGUGAAACCCCAUCUCUAUUAAAAAUACAAAAAUUAGCUGGGCAUGGUGGUAGGCGCCUGUAGUCCCAGCUACUUGGGAGGCCAAGGCAGGAGAAUCGCUUGAACACGGGAGGCAGAGCUUGCAGUGAGCUGAGAUCGCACCAUUGCACUCCAACUUGGCGACAGAGCAAGACUCUGUCUCAGAAAAAAAAAAAAGUUUGCAUUUUGUCCUGGCCCCUGCCAGGCAUAUCUCUCCUGGUGGCUGCCCUGCCCUGUGGUCACAGUUCUUGGUCCGCCUGCAGAAUCUUAUAAUUAUUGUUGAGAAUGUUUAGCUUCUCCUCCAGCUCCUGAGCCACCUUCUUCAGCUCCUCAGCUGUCUCUGACUUUGCCCCCUCAUGUAAGUGCUUUGAUUCGUACACGAGGUAGACUACAUCCAGCACAAGAAAGAAGCUUACAGGGGCCACAUCCGUGAGCUUGACUCCUCUGCUCAUUUCCAGGAUGCUGGGUUCAUUAACCCUCUCCACCUGUUCACCGCUUUCAGCUGAGAUUGGCUCAGUGACCCGGGGGCGUGAGGCUGAGGCAUGCGGUACUGACUGAAGAUUGGCUCUGGCUCGUCUGAGGGCACGGAUGUCCUUCCCAAUGCCUCGUGUGAGUUGGUAAGUAUUGCCAGCUAAGGAAAGAAAGUUGGAUAUGUUCUCACCCAAAAACUCCCUCACCUCCUUCAAUUUGUCAAGGCUUUUGAUGACCAGGUCGUGGGCUUGGGCUUGUGUCCACCACUUCUUUCCGUAGUCCAUGGUACUGCUGGUAAUCCCGGUCAAAGCGGCUGUGAUUCCCAACUCCAUCCCAGGUUCCAAGAGUACAAGGCUGCCUCCCUCUGUGAAGGGUGCCAGACCCAUGCCGACGAGGGUCAGGAUGCCAGAGGAAAUGCUGAGAGAGCCAGACACCACAUUGGCGAUGGUGGUGCCUUUGUGGACCUUCUGAACCCCAUCUGCAAGGGCACGGAGCCUUCUUAUGUUAUCCUCAAGCUCACUUUUCAACCGAGGAAACUCUUUCAGAAACCAGUUUCUGUACUGCUGGCCUUUAU